UACGUAGGGGGCAAGCGUUGUCCGGAAUCAUUGGGCGUAAAGCGCGUGUAGGCGGUUUCGCACGUCCGGUGUGAAAGCCCAGGGCUCAACCCUGGAAGUGCACUGGAUACGACGGAGCUGGAGUACUGAAGAGGAGAGCGGAAUUCCCGGUGUAGAGGUGAAAUUCGUAGAUAUCGGGAGGAACACCUGUGGCGAAGGCGCCUUGCUGGCCAAUUUCUGACGCUGAGGCGGCGAAAGCGUGGGGAGCAAACAGG
rnacentral:rRNA from 1 species